rnacentral:rRNA from 1 species
UACGGAGGAUGCAAGCGUUAUCCGGAAUGAUUGGGCGUAAAGCGUCCGCAGGUGGCAAUGUAAGUCUGCUGUCAAAGCGUCUGGCUCAACCAGAUAAAGGCAGUGGAAACUACAUAGCUAGAGUAAGGUAGGGGUAGAGGGAAUUCAUGGUGUAGCGGUGAAAUGCGUAGAGAUCAGGAAGAACACCGGUGGCGAAAGCGCUCUGCUGGACCUUAACUGACACUGAGGGACGAAAGCUAGGGGAGCGAAUGGG